UACAGAGGGGGCAAGCGUUAUUCGGAAUUAUUGGGCGUAAAGGGCGCGUAGGCGGCUUGGCAAGUGGAUGGUGAAAUCCCUCGGCUUAACCGAGGAACUGCCAUCCAGACUGCUUUGCUUGAGGCCGGGAGAGGUGAGUGGAAUUCCCAGUGUAGCGGUGAAAUGCGUAGAUAUUGGGAGGAACACCAGUGGCGAAGGCGGCUCACUGGACCGGUUCUGACGCUGAGGCGCGAAGGCGUGGGGAGCGAACAGG
rnacentral:rRNA from 1 species